UCGGGGGACGAUAACGGCGUCGAGCGGCGGACGGGUGAGUAAUGCCUAGGAAAUUGCCCUGAUGUGGGGGAUAACCAUUGGAAACGAUGGCUAAUACCGCAUGAUGCCUACGGGCCAAAGAGGGGGACCUUCGGGCCUCUCGCGUCAGGAUAUGCCUAGGUGGGAUUAGCUAGUUGGUGAGGUAAGGGCUCACCAAGGCGACGAUCCCUAGCUGGUCUGAGAGGAUGAUCAGCCACACUGGAACUGAGACACGGUCCAGACUCCUACGGGAGGCAGCAGUGGGGAAUAUUGCACAAUGGGCGCAAGCCUGAUGCAGCCAUGCCGCGUGUGUGAAGAAGGCCUUCGGGUUGUAAAGCACUUUCAGUCGUGAGGAAGGUAGUGUAGUUAAUAGCUGCAUUAUUUGACGUUAGCGACAGAAGAAGCACCGGCUAACUCCGUGCCAGCAGCCGCGGUAAUACGGAGGGUGCGAGCGUUAAUCGGAAUUACUGGGCGUAAAGCGCAUGCAGGUGGUUUGUUAAGUCAGAUGUGAAAGCCCGGGGCUCAACCUCGGAAUUGCAUUUGAAACUGGCAGACUAGAGUACUGUAGAGGGGGGUAGAAUUUCAGGUGUAGCGGUGAAAUGCGUAGAGAUCUGAAGGAAUACCGGUGGCGAAGGCGGCCCCCUGGACAGAUACUGACACUCAGAUGCGAAAGCGUGGGGAGCAAACAGGAUUAGAUACCCUGGUAGUCCACGCCGUAAACGAUGUCUACUUGGAGGUUGUGGCCUUGAGCCGUGGCUUUCGGAGCUAACGCGUUAAGUAGACCGCCUGGGGAGUACGGUCGCAAGAUUAAAACUCAAAUGAAUUGACGGGGGCCCGCACAAGCGGUGGAGCAUGUGGUUUAAUUCGAUGCAACGCGAAGAACCUUACCUACUCUUGACAUCCAGAGAACUUUCCAGAGAUGGAUUGGUGCCUUC
rnacentral:rRNA from 1 species